UUGGUGCCUUCGGGAACUCUGACACAGGUGCUGCAUGGCUGUCGUCAGCUCGUGUCGUGAGAUGGUUGGGUUAACGUCCCGUAACGAGCGCAACCUUGUCCUUAGUUACCAGCACGUUAUGGUGGGCACUCUAAGGAGACUGCCGGUGACAAACCGGAGGAAGGUGGGGAUGACGUCAAGUCAUCAUGGCCCUUACGGCCUGGGCUACACACGUGCUACAAUGGUCGGUACAAAGGGUUGCCAAGCCGCGAGGUGGAGCUAAUCCCAUAAAACCGAUCGUAGUCCGGAUCGCAGUCUGCAACUCGACUGCGUGAAGUCGGAAUCGCUAGUAAUCGUGAAUCAGAAUGUCACGGUGAAUACGUUCCCGGGCCUU
rnacentral:rRNA from 1 species